CCCUAGCCCCGAUUGAAGCGUAAAUCCUUUUUGAAGCUUGCAAAGCGAAAAAAGAUUGCAGCGGAAAGCGGGAAACAGC
rnacentral:sRNA from 1 species